AACGAACGCUGGCGGCAGGCCUCAAACAUGCAAGUCUAGGGGGUGCAGCAAUGCAUCACCGGCGGACGGGUGCGUAACGCGUGGGAAUAUACCUAUUGGUUCGGAACAACUGCGGGAAACUGCAGCUAAUACCGAAUGUGCCCGAAAGGGGAAAGGUUUAUCGCCAAUGGAUUAGCCCGCGUAGGAUUAGCUAGUUGGUGGGGUAAUGGCCCACCAAGGCUCCGAUCCUUAGCUGCUGAGAGGAAGAUCAGCCACACUGGGACUGAGACACGGCCCAGACUCCUACGGGAGGCAGCAGUUGGGAAUCUUGGACAAUGGGGGAAACCCUGAUCCAGCCAUGCCGCGUGAGUGAUGAAGGCCUUC
rnacentral:rRNA from 1 species